GUCAGGCCACUCCUCUCACCAGUGACCCUGUAAUCUCCGCAAGCAGGAAUGCCCGAGCCCCCCCCAACCACGCCCUCUUAGCCCUCAACGAUGACGUCACGCGCGGCGGAGGGCUGGUUCCGAUCGGACACUUCCGGUGGAAGGACGGAGCUGCAAUACGCCCCCAGGCGUCCUUCCACAGAGACUUUUGAGGCUGCGCAGAAGGAGACAGGCCGGCUUUGGACUGCGCUUCCCAGAAGCCUUCGGAUCUCCUCAGGAGCCGGGACUCCAUUUCCCAGGCGUCUUCGCUACGGUCUUGAAGUCCUCAGACUUGGAAGGAGAAGGCGUCUUUUCUUUGUAGUAAUAAGCUUGCCUCUAUAGCUCCCAUGCGGGCCUCAUCCUUGACUUCAUCCCAUUUCAGUAUGGGGCCGUGAAAUGGAAGCCCACGCAGCAGGGACGCGGCUCAAACUUCACCUUUGGACUUAUGGGAAACUUUUCCCAAAUCCUUGGUUUGUCCCUAACCCGGGUGGACCGCAGAUAUGCAAAACGGGGUUAAUCAUAACGCCUGGUUUAAGACUUUGCGUUACCCUAAAUUGUGAACAUUCUUUAAUCCAUUACCAAAUCUAUAAGAACCAGAACGUUGACAAUAACCUAACCUUUCCUACAACUCUUUCUCUUGUCUCCCUCUGUAUUUUGUGUCCCCUUACUUAUUGAGAAGAUAGUUCUGCUUGAUACAUACACAUGGCCAAACAAUAUAGGCUUUUAAUUUUAGUUGUUUUUGUCUGAAAGGCAUCAUGUCAUAGGUAAUCUGAAUUUGCUUCUUUUCACUCAAUAAGUUAAGAUAUACCCAUAUUGUUGAGUUAAAAUUCAUUUUCAUUACUGUAUAAUAUUCCAUUUGUGAAUAUAGCAUUGUGUUCAUCCUUUCUCCUAAUAUGGGUUGAUAACACUAUUAUCUCUCUUUUGGAUUACCGCAGUAAACUUUUUUUAACAUCUUUAUUGGGGUAUAAUUGCUU